rnacentral:rRNA from 1 species
AGAGUUUGAUCCUGGCUCAGGAUGAACGCUGGCGGCGUGCUUAACACAUGCAAGUCGAACGAUCCUUCGGGAUAGUGGCGGACGGGUGAGUAACGCGUGGGAAUCUGCCCUCAGGAGGGGGAUAACGGCUGGAAACGGCCGCUAAUACCCCAUAUGCCGAGAGGUGAAAUGAAUUUCGCCUGAGGAUGAGCCCGCGUCUGAUUAGCUAGUUGGUGGGGUAAAGGCCUACCAAGGCGACGAUCAGUAGCUGGUCUGAGAGGAUGAUCAGCCACACUGGGACUGAGACACGGCCCAGACUCCUACGGGAGGCAGCAGUGGGGAAUUUUCCGCAAUGGGCGAAAGCCUGACGGAGCAACGCCGCGUGAGGGAUGAAGGCCUCUGGGCUGUAAACCUCUUUUCUCAAGGAAGAAGAACUGACGGUACUUGAGGAAUAAGCCACGGCUAAAUCCGUGCCAGCAGCCGCGGUAAUACGGGAGUGGCAAGCGUUAUCCGGAAUUAUUGGGCGUAAAGCGUCCGCAGGCGGCCUUGUAAGUCUGUUGUUACAGCGUGGAGCUCAACUCCAUUUAAGCAAUGGAAACUACAAGGCUGGAGUGUGGUAGGGGCAGAGGGAAUUCCCGGUGUAGCGGUGAAAUGCGUAGAUAUCGGGAAGAACACCAGUGGCGAAGGCGCUCUGCUGGGCCAUAACUGACGCUCAUGGACGAAAGCCAGGGGAGCGAAAGGGAUUAGAUACCCCUGUAGUCCUGGCCGUAAACGAUGAACACUAGGUGUCGGGGGAAUCGACCCCCUCGGUGUCGUAGCCAACGCGUUAAGUGUUCCGCCUGGGGAGUACGCACGCAAGUGUGAAACUCAAAGGAAUUGACGGGGGCCCGCACAAGCGGUGGAGUAUGUGGUUUAAUUCGAUGCAACGCGAAGAACCUUACCAGGGUUUGACAUCCUGCGAAUCCCUUGGAAACGAGGGAGUGCCUUCGGGAGCGCAGUGACAGGUGGUGCAUGGCUGUCGUCAGCUCGUGUCGUGAGAUGUUGGGUUAAGUCCCGCAACGAGCGCAACCCACGUCUUUAGUUGCCAGCAUUCAGUUGGGCACUCUAGAGAGACCGCCGGUGAUAAACCGGAGGAAGGUGUGGAUGACGUCAAGUCAUCAUGCCCCUUACAUCCUGGGCUACACACGUACUACAAUGCUACGGACAAAGGGCAGCAAGCUCGCGAGAGUUAGCAAAUCCCAUAAACCGUGGCUCAGUUCAGAUCGUAGGCUGCAACUCGCCUACGUGAAGGAGGAAUCGCUAGUAAUCGCAGGUCAGCAUACUGCGGUGAAUACGUUCCCGGGCCUUGUACACACCGCCCGUCACACCAUGGAAGUUGGCCAUGCCCGAAGUCGUUACUCCAACCCUC